CCCGGCGGCUCCAGGGGGCGGAGCCGAGCCGCCUCCUCAGGACCUACGCAGGAGGCGCCGUCAUCCCUACAGGGACACCUGAGAGGACCCAGCCUCCUCCUCCUCAGGACCCACUCGGGAGACGCCGCUGGCUCUAUAGGAACACCUGGGGACCGUGGCCAGGGACCACCCAGCCUCCUUCUCCUCAGCUCCUCAGGAACCACUGGGGGAGCUGUGGCUUCAUGGUCCCCGAGGCUGCCCGAGGAAAGGUAUUUCAGGACAGCCAGGAGGGGGCGCACAUCCGCCGAGAAACUGUGAGCAAGAGCGUCUGUGCUGAACCACGGAGCCACCAGAGGGCGCGCGAUCCCGCCCCAACCAACUUCCCGCGGAGGUGCCAGAAGCAGCGAGGAGCUUCAACUUCCUCAGGGCAGCACGAGGGUCGUGUUAACUUGGUGUUCUUCAUUGAGAAAUGGAAUCAUCGUAUCGCUGAUCUACGUAAACAAAUUGAAGAAUUGUCUGAAAGAAAAUAUGACAUGAACUUAUGAAUUCAACAGGUGAAGAUUUACAACUUGAUAAAUCAGCUUUGUGAGCUCGAGCUGUAAAAGCCAAAGGUCUGGUGAUGAUCCCAUACCCUUUUUUCCAGUCUCAUGUUGAAGAUUUUUAUGUAGAAGGCCUUCCCAAAGGAAUUUUUUUUUGAGAUGGAGUUUUCACUCUUAUCGCCCAGGCUGGGGUGCAAUGGCGCAACCUUGCUGGUCACUGCAACCUCUGCCUCCUGGGUUCAAGAAAUUCUCCUGCCUUAGCCUCCCAAGUCGCUGGGAUUACAGGUGCCCACCACCACACCAGGCUAAUUUUUGUAUUUUUAGUGGAGAUGGGGUUUCACCAUGUUGGCCGGGCCAGUCUCGAACUCCUGACGUCAAGUGAUCUUCCCGCCUCGACUCCUGACAUCAAGUGAUCUUCCCGCCUCAGCCUUCCAGAGUGCUGAGAUUACAGACGUGAACCCAUGCCUGGUCAGGAAUUUUGUUUUUUAGGAAGGCUUUCUACUAAUGGAAUUCCUGGCCUUGAGAGGAUGUUACUUUCGAAGGAAAGGAUUUUUUUGUUAUUAAAAGAAACAGGACCUUGCCCUGUCACUCAGGAUGGAGUUCAGUGCUCCUAUCAUGGCUCAUUAUAGCCUCAAACUCCCAGGCUCAAGCAAUCCUACCAUGUCAGCCUUCCCGUAGCUGGGACUACAGAGACGAGGUUUCGCCGUGUUUCCCAGACUGUUCUCAAACUCCUGAGCUCAAAGCAGUCCACCCACCUUGGCCUCCCAGAGUGCUGGGAUUACAGGUGUGAGCCAUCUUGCUCAUUCUAGUUUAAACUUUUGAGUGGUUUGUGUCUCCUGAUUGGACUCCUACAAAUACAGAAUUGAUGCUAGGAAGGGUACCAGGAGAUAGACGCACACAGAUGGGAUUUGGGAAUAGGUUUGGUUAUCCAAGGAGCAGUGCUGAGCUCCUUGCUAAUGGGAUAUGGGAUGCUGGUGAUUUCCAGGAAGUGAGCUCACAAUGACUCAAGCUGCCACAUACUGUUGAUUGUGAAAUGCCAGUUGAAGUAUAUGUCCUGCGAGCUUAGGGGUGCUACAAGUUGACCACUGCAGCAGUAAAGAUGACUCUGAAGAAUGGCGUGGGGUGGAUCCUUUCAAAUGCACUUGAGCAGCGGUCUCCAACCACAGGGCCACAGAGCUGGAGCUGGAUCUACCAUGAAGGACUUCUGAAUCCAGGAAGAGAGACUGACUGGGCAACAUGUUAUUCAGGUACAAAAAGAUUUGGACUGUAACUUAAAAAUGAUCAAAUAAUAGUGCAUGCAUCAAGUGCAAUGGGAAGCUCUUCUGGAGAGUGAGAGAAGCUUCCAGUUAAGGUGACAUUGAAGCCAAGUCCUGAAAGAUGAGGAACAGUUGUAUGAGAGUGG